AGACGUGAAAGACCCCAGUGACGAGGACAGCCUGUGUAAGAUCUGCACAGAGACAAACUGGCGUUUUGGCCUGAGGAACUUUGCGCUUCCGAACAACGCGACCGCUUACAUCGCCUGUGAUUACAUCGACAUGUGUUCAGUGAGGAACUGUGGCGGCGACAGUCUCUGGGGACAGGACCAACAAUCGUGCUACGUUCCUGUCAUUCCACCCAUUGACCUGCUGAUGUCAUCAGCUCUGUACCCGUGUGGUCGUCCACAGACAGUCAAGAUUCUUCCCUUUUAUAAGGCUUCUGCAAUU